CGCGAAAACUUUACAAUGCUGGCAACAGCGAUAAGGGAACCUCGAGUGCCAGGUUACAAAUCUGACUGUCGAGAUGCCUAAAAAGCAUUUCAUAGCAAGGGCCGGGCAAGACCGGUGCCAGCCGCCGCGGUAACACCGGCGGCUCGAGUGGUAACCGUUAUUAUUGGGUCUAAAGGGUCUGUAGCCGGCCGGAUAAGUCUCUUGGGAAAUCUGGCAGCUCAACUGUCAGGCUUUCAGGAGAUACUGUCUGGCUCGAGGCCGGGAGAGGUGAGAGGUACUUCAGGGGUAGGGGUGAAAUCUUGUAAUCCUUGAAGGACCACCAGUGGCGAAGGCGUCUCACCRGAACGGACCUGACGGCAAGGGACGAAAGCUAGGGGCACGAACCGGAUUAGAUACCCGGGUAGYCCUAGCCGUAAACGAUACUCGCUAGGUGUCGGCCACGGUGCGACCGUGGUCGGUGCCGUAGGGAAGCCGUGAAGCGAGCCACCUGGGAAGUACGGCCGCAAGGCUGAAACUUAAAGGAAUUGGCGGGGGAGCACCACAACGGGUGGAGCUUGCGGUUUAAUUGGAUUCAACGCCGG
rnacentral:rRNA from 1 species